UUAUUAUAAUGUUGUGAGUAGAGAGAAUUAAGGGUUGAGAUUUAACCCACAUGGAUUAUGCAUUUCAUCAAAUGGCCGUAAUUCAUUCACAUUCUCUAUUUAAGAAAACAACGCCCAACACCUCAAAUUGUCUUUCUCCUCUUCUCUGUUAACCGAACACUCCCUUCUCCACUCUUCAUGUUUUCUUCUUCUUGCAAUUUACAUAUAUACCUUGUGAGAUUUGAAUGAUCUUUGAGAGAGUUUUAGGAAAUCAAUUUAAGAGAGGAUUAAAGAAAAGAAUAAAGCUUGAGGUUGAAAGUGUGAACUGGAUAGUGACCUUGGCGAGAGAGACAUACCGUUCUCAUGUAGCGUAAGUUGAAUGUGUUUGAAGCUUGAUAAGGUUGUUAGCAAUUGGGGAUAGUUAAGGUAUCCUGGUGUCGUGAAGACUUGCAAGAUGUGAAUGUCUUUGGCUAGGAGUUCAAGAUCAGCUUAGGGUUAUGUUUCAGAGUGUUGUCCAGGUCUGUUAUUGGGGAGUUUGUUGAAGCUUAAUGCUUAAAUGUGUUAGUGGUAUUGACCUUUACUUGUUGUCAAAUACUCUGUACGCAAUUAUAUUCAAGUGGUCAAAUAUUUUAUGACCUUGGGCAUUGCGCUGGGCCUAUUUAUGGAAAAGACUUAGACCGAAAAGCUCGUACUCUGAUUUAUCAUUUUUAUUAUUCCUAAAAGGACAGUGGUCCAUAUUUUGUAAGGCAUUAAUUUUGAAAAAAAAAUACACUCUCGCUGUUAAAAAUCGGGGUGUUACACUUCGCGCGCUGUAGGGCGCGUCGCGCCUUCUUUGAGUUUGAAGAACAAAAGCUGGCAGAAGUUUGGGCGCGUCGCGCGGUUUUUAGGGCGCUUCGCGCGCUAAGGCUGUUUGGUAAAUUUAUACAGGGCGCGUCACACCGAAGUAGGGCGCGUCGCGCCCACUGCGAAACUCAGUUUUGUAUAAAUAGUUAAUAACAGAUUUUUUUAGGUUUUUUAUCACCUCUUCUUGACAAGUUGAGCUCUGAUCCUUUUUUGGUAGUUUAGAGGCUUAGGAAACACCAUUGGGUGCAACGUCAAGUGGAUUGAUCAUGGAUCUGACUCGAUUUCAUUGUACCGGUGAGAUCUUUCCGGUUCAUCUUCUCUCUUCCCUUUGUUUCAUUCCAAUGGUGGGUGUUGUAUGUAUAUUUCUACUCUUAUUGUAUGUACAUUUGUGGAUCUUGGGAUCGUUUAUAUAUUCGCUUUACAAAUCAUCAUUGUUGUUGUUCUUGAUCUUUUUGCUUAAAUGCUCUGGAUUUGUGUUGUUGCAGACAUGGACACCAUAGAUCUUGAUUAGGAAUGAUAAUUGUUAGUUUCUGGGUUGCAGACUUGGAUUUAGGACUAACAAUCGUAGUGGGUAUCGAGUUUAAUGCCUCCGUGUUGUUUGUGUCGGUGGAGAAAUCGCUGAUGUGAAUAGUACGGUUGAGCUUUCGUCGGUGUUGCAGACAUGGGCACCAAUGCGGCAUCUCGAGUGAUGCCCGGUGAUGUUGAUGCAUAUUGUGAGUGUAGAGCGAUAGAUCUUCAGAUUUAAGUAUUCGACGGGUAGAACGAAAUGCAAUUCCAUAACUCUUUCUCUUAGACUAUUGAGAUUGUUUAUCUGCUUUUAUUUACUUUUCCCGCAUUUACCUUUCCGCACCCAAUUCAUGAAACUUAGAACGCGAGAUAGUCGAACGGCAGUUCUUCUCACCAAUCUCUGUGGACACGAUAAUUCCCGGAUGAAUACUUCCAAAACUUUUGUUGCUUGCCGCUUUACCGCCUCAACAAAAUGGCGUCGUUGCCGGGGAUUGGUUGAGAUUAAUCGCAUUGCGAUGGUUUUAUGUUUUAAGUUUCGUAUAUAUGUCCAUAGCGUAUAUUUUGUGUAUAGACUCAUACUUGUAUUUUCUUGUAUAGUUAUACUUGUUUCGUUUUGUUUGGUAAACUGACUAAACAAGUUGAACUCGGAUUAGCUCUUAAAUUACAUAUCUUCACUUUUCAACUUGUUUAGUCAAUUUCACCAUUCAUUUGUAAUUUGGUGUUUUUACACAUACUUGUAUAUACUUUUGCUUUUAAUUCGUUUGUUAAGUGUUUGGGCAGGACGUUUUCUUUAGGUUGCGUUUGAGGCGAAAGCAUUGGCGUACCGCGAGGAAGUUUCUUACCAUUCGCGAAACAAUAAAGGCGUCGAGCUAACGACGUUAAACGAGCGCUUGUUGGGAGGCACCCCAACAGUUUUAUUUUUCUGUUUUUCUGUAAUUGAGUUGUGUAGGUGUUAAGUGGUGGCUCACUGGAAAAUCUGUCUUUUUAGACUGGUCUGGUUUUUCUGGUGUAGCGCGCGUCGCGCGCUCUUGGGUGUGUCGCGCGCUGGGUUGCUUUUGGCCAGUGACCUCUUUUUAACGGGUCAUUCGGCUCGCCUUUUUCCCACUUACACCAAGGCUUUAUAGUAUAGUAUUCUAUCGAUUUAUUUUUAAUGGUUUUGUUUGUGUUUAGACUCAAAUUUUGGCCCGAUUACUUGGAGUCGCAUUUGGUAAUUCUUCGAUUUUGAUUGAUUCAACAAGCCGGUUGUGCGGUAAUGAUUGAUCGACUUUGUACAUAACAAGGUAUUCUUGUGUUUUCGGAGCCUUGACGAAUAAAGUGUCGAAGACACGGCUGCGAGAGCAAAGAGGAAAUAAUUCUGCUGUUCUGGUGCAGGGCGCUUCGCGCGCUGUAGGGCGCGUCGCGCCUUCUUUGAGUUUGAAGAACAAAAGCUGGCAGAAGUUUGGGCGCGUCACGCGGUUUUUAGGGCGCUUCGCGCGCUAAGGCGGUUUGGUAAAUUUAUACAGGGCGCGUCGCACCGAAGUAGGGCGCGUCGCGCCCACUGCGAAACUCAGUUUUGUAUAAAUAGUUAAUAACAGAUUUUUUUAGGUUUUUUAUCACCUCUUCUUGACAAGUUGAGCUCUGAUCCUUUUUUGGUAGUUUAGAGGCUUAGGAAACACCAUUGGGUGCGACGUCAAGUGGAUUGAUCAUGGAUCUGACUCGAUUUCAUUGUACCGGUGAGAUCUUUCCGGUUCAUCUUCUCUCUUCCCUUUGUUUCAUUCCAAUGGUGGGUGUUGUAUGUAUAUUUCUACUCUUAUUGUAUGUACAUUUGUGGAUCUUGGGAUCGUUUAUAUAUUUGCUUUACAAAUCAUCAUUGUUGUUGUUCUUGAUCUUUUUGCUUAAAUGCUCUGGAUUUGUGUUGUUGCAGACAUGGACACCAUAGAUCUUGAUUAGGAAUGAUAACUGUUAGUUUCUGGGUUGCAGACUUGGAUUUAGGACUAACAAUCGUAGUGGGUAUCGAGUUUAAUGCCUCCGUGUUGUUUGUGUCGGUGGAGAAAUCGCUGAUGUGAAUAGUACGGUUGAGCUUUCGUCGGUGUUGCAUACAUGGGCACCAAUGCGGCAUCUCGAGUGAUGCCCGGUGAUGUUGACGCAUAUUGUGAGUGUAGAGCGAUAGAUCUUCAGAUUUAAGUAUUCGACGGGUAGAACGAAAUGCAAUUCCAUAACUCUUUCUCUUAGACUAUUGAGAUUGUUUAUCUGCUUUUAUUUACUUUUCCCGCAUUUACCUUUCCGCACCCAAUUCAUGAAACUUAGAACGCGAGAUAGUCGAACGGCAGUUCUUCUCACCAAUCUCUGUGGACACGAUAAUUCCCGGAUGAAUACUUCCAAAACUUUUGUUGCUUGCCGCUUUACCGCCUCAACAGGCAUGUCACCAAAUGAAUGUUGAUCCCGGAUCCAGGUACGUGUCGUAAAGAUGAAGGUGGCAGUCUCUCGAGAAGCCAAAGUUAAUAGAAAAGACGAUUCAAGGGCUACUAGAUGCUAAUUUCAUCUUUGAAGUGAAGUAUUCUUAGUGGUUAUCCAAUGUAGUCUUAGUCAAGAAAGCCUCGGGAAAAUUGAGAAUGUGUGUCGACUACACCGAUAUGAAGAAGGCAUGCCCCCAUUUGUUUGUGAAGUCUUAAGUCCAAUAAUGUUUUAGAGGGAGCAAGGAGGAAAGCCUUGAUCACGCUUUACUUAAUGCUCAUGUCGACUCAAUUACAAUGCAAGUUUGCCAAGCAUUAAAAAGGGGGAGAAUGAAGUUGUUAUGCCCUAUAGGGCUUUGGUUUUGUUGCUUGUCUCGUUUAUUAUUUAUCCUUUAUCACUUUUGUAAUUCAGUCUCCUCUAAGUUAGAUCUCUGCAAAUAU